ACGAACGCUGGCGGCGUGCUUAACACAUGCAAGUCGAACGGUAAGGCCCCUUCGGGGGUACACGAGUGGCGAACGGGUGAGUAACACGUGGGUAAUCUGCCCUGCACUUCGGGAUAAGCCUGGGAAACCGGGUCUAAUACCGGAUAUGAGCUCCUGCCGCAUGGUGGGGGUUGGAAAGUUUUUCGGUGCAGGAUGAGUCCGCGGCCUAUCAGCUUGUUGGUGGGGUAAUGGCCUACCAAGGCGACGACGGGUAGCCGGCCUGAGAGGGUGAUCGGCCACACUGGGACUGAGACACGGCCCAGACUCGUACGGGAGGCAGCAGUGGGGAAUAUUGCACAAUGGGCGGAAGCCUGAUGCAGCGACGCCGCGUGGGGGAUGACGGUCUUCGGAUUGUAAACUCCUUUCAGUAGGGACGAAGCGAGAGUGACGGUACCUGCAGAAGAAGCACCGGCCAACUACGU
rnacentral:rRNA from 1 species